AGAACGAACGCUGGCGGCAUGCCUAACACAUGCAAGUCGAACGAACCCUUCGGGGUUAGUGGCGCACGGGUGCGUAACGCGUGGGAAUCUGCCCUUAGGUACGGAAUAACUCAGGGAAACUUGUGCUAAUACCGUAUGAUGUCGAGAGACCAAAGAUUCAUCGCCUAAGGAUGAGCCCGCGUUGGAUUAGCUAGUUGGUGGGGUAAAAGCCUACCAAGGCUACGAUCCAUAGCUGGUCUGAGAGGAUGAUCAGCCACACUGGGACUGAGACACGGCCCAGACUCCUACGGGAGGCAGCAGUGGGGAAUAUUGGACAAUGGGCGAAAGCCUGAUCCAGCAAUGCCGCGUGAGUGAAGAAGGCCUUCGGGUUGUAAAGCUCUUUUACCCGGGAUGAUAAUGACAGUACCGGGAGAAUAAGCUCCGGCUAACUCCGUGCCAGCAGCCGC
rnacentral:rRNA from 1 species